rnacentral:lncRNA from 1 species
AACUCAAGACUACUGUAAAUCAGCAACUGUACUAUUAAAAGUAUAUCAUUGUUAGUGGACCUGACCGUUCCACAUCUUGGCAUAUAUUCUAAGAAAAUGACUAGAAAAUAAGGCAAAUAUUUAUAUACACUGAUGUACAUCACAGAUUUAUUUAAAUAUUGGCAAAAGUUUGGAAGUCAUUUUUGUUCAAUCAUAGAGAUGCCUUGGACUUCUAAGUUUGGAACUUAUUCUUGGGGACUGUUCUAA